CGGUUUUUUUUUUGUUUUAAUCCGAAAAAACACGUUUAUAUUAUAAAUUUAGAUCCGAAAUAAAAUUAAAAUUAAUUACUUCUAAGAAACACGCUUCUAGAUCCAAUUUUAAGCUUAAGAAAUGUUUCUAAAAUGAGGGUUUCAAUCACUGAACUUGACACAGCAGCACCAAUUCAAAAUGCUUUGAAAGAAAUGAGGAAGUUGCUCAUAUCCCUGCUUAUAAAGUUUACUUGUCUGCCAUUGGCUGAAUCAAACACUCCACGUGCAGUUACUGAGUGAAUCGAUCUUCCAAAAACACGAGUACGGGGACGAUAGCAGUCUCCUCUCAACCGUGUUUAUUCCAUCCCCGAGUUUAAAACCUGUUGAAUCAUUUUCUAAGAAUAUCGUGAGGGAGUUAUUUUAAAAUAUAAAAAAAAAUUAUAUCCAACGACCUUAAAAAAAUCUCUUAAAAAA